rnacentral:rRNA from 1 species
UACGUAGGGUGCGAGCGUUAUUCGGAUUUACUGGGCGUAAAGCGUGUGUAGGUGGCUGUAUAAGUCCUUGAUUAAAGACCCGAGCUCAACUCGGGGAGUGUUGAGGAUACUGUACAGCUAGAGGUUUGCAGGGGCAGAUGGAAUUCCCGGUGUAGCAGUGAAAUGCGUAGAUAUCGGGAAGAACACCAAUGGCGAAAGCAGUCUGCUGGGCUUAUCCUGACACUGAGACACGAAAGCGUGGGGAGCGAACGGG